ACGUAGGUGGCAAGCGUUGUCCGGAUUUAUUGGGCGUAAAGCGAGCGCAGGCGGUUUCUUAAGUCUGAUGUGAAAGCCUUCGGCUCAACCGAAGAAGUGCAUCGGAAACUGGGAAACUUGAGUGCAGAAGAGGACAGUGGAACUCCAUGUGUAGCGGUGAAAUGCGUAGAUAUAUGGAAGAACACCAGUGGCGAAGGCGCCUAACUGGAACGAACCUGACGGUGAGUAACGAAAGCCAGGGGCGCGAACCG
rnacentral:rRNA from 1 species